GCUGAUGAGUGAAGAUGACAAGCAGGAAGGCGGAGAACAGGGGAAGAAAGAACCUUAAUACACAAAAUGAUGGAAGAAACUGACUUUCAAAUAUUAUGGGCUUCAUUUUUUGGCACAGUCUGUGGACAUUUCCAGCCCCUGCUUCCUCCCCUCUUCAUGUUGGUAGUUGUCCAGUUAAAAGUGCACUUUCUUUCCCACUCUAGUGUGCGCUACACAAGGGCAGAAUAUCGCAUGUCCAAUUUUUACUAUUUCCUGAGUGCCUGGCAUGUCAUGGACUUAUGAUUAAAUAAUGUAAUUGAACAAAAGAAGGAAUGAAUGAGUUAUCAUAGUAUUUAGCUUUCUUAGUCAGAAAUUAGGUUUACUUCCCUCUGCUUCCUGAGAUUUAUCUUUCACUUAAUUCUUUCAUUGGUUAAUAACAAAUUGAUUAUACUUCCUUUCCUCUCAGGACUGGCUCAGAAUAGGACACUCUACACAGAGAUCUUUCUUUUUUUUUUUUUUAAAGGAAAAGCAUGCAGGAUCUUAUUAAUUUAAAAUAAUUUCUGCUAACAAUUGUAGGGUAUAAGAAAGAGUAUAACAAGAUUGGUAAUAACAUUACAAAAUAUAUAAUAAAUAAACAAUGCCUCCUUCUAAGGUCUCUGUUUUGUUAAUAGUAAUGGUCCUUAGAGGAGAGCAACUGAUUUCUUCUGAAAUGAAAAGUGGAAGCUCUACUAGUUUUUGGAUUUCUGUCAUUCCCCCCACCUUUUUUUUUUUUUUCCUGUGAAGGAGAUUACUAAAUGUCUACAGCAUUCUGACUCAACACUUAUAUCACACUUUUUCCUCUAAUGGGCAGUGUGCUUGUCUGAGGAUGCCAGAGCAGAAUGGCAGCCAUGCAGUACGACUCCAGCCAAAUGAGCCAAACUGGACUUUUUUGUCAAGACAUGUGAGUUAAAACCUUCUCAUGUGGCUUUACAGUAUGGAGGGUCCCCUGCACUGCCCACAUUGUGCCUAAUGAAUGAGCCAAGCCUGACCAGGGCACUCUGGUGUGAGGUUGAAGAAAGGAAAUUUGGAACAAAGACGCCAAGCGCUCUGGAGAAGCAGGUGAAACUUCCACUGCCGAACAAAAUCAUAAUGGGAGCAGCCACGGUUAAUAAAGUUGUGAAAGUUUAAAGUACCUUCCAGUUCACUUCCCCUUUUAACUAUCUGACUUUUCAACUUUUGUUUUACAAACCCACUGUCCAUCUCUAUAAAGGAGCAGGGAGUCAGAGAUGGAUCCUGAAAGGGAAGAGGGAGAAAGGGAUGCAUGAAGAGAGGUGGAAAGAGAUGGACGACAAAGGCAGAGGAGAGUAAGAGACCAAAUAAUUAAUCUGUGCUUCCUUUCUUCCUUCCUUCCUCUUUCUUUCUGUCUUUCUUUUUCCCUUCCUUCCUCCCUUCCCUUUUCUUUUCUUUUCCUUCCUUCCUUCCUUCUCCUUCCUUCCUUCCUUCCUCGCUUUCUUUCCUCUUUCUUUUUGAGACAGCGCCUCUCUCUGUUGCCCUGGCUGGAGUGUAGUGGUGCCACCAUGGCUCACUGCAGCUUCCGCCUCAUGGACUCAAGUGGUCCUCCCACGGCAGCCUUCUGAGUAGCUGGCACCACAGGCACACACCACCAUGCCUGGCUAAUUUUUAUUUUUCUUUUUUUGUAGAGAUGAGGUCUUGCUAUGUUGCCCAGGCUGGUCUCAAGCUCCCAGGCUCAAAUGAUCCUCCUGCCUCGGCCUCCCAAAGUGCUGGGAUUACAGGCAUGAGCCACCUUGUCUGGCCCACUUUUCUUUUUAUAGGACUUUAUUAGAUGAGGUGAAGAACAGGUAAUUUGGGUUGAUAAUUUGAGAAUAAAAUGAUUUAUUUUACCAAUUUUUUCUACUUCUCAAUUUUAAAAUAAAAUGAUCCCUUAUUUUGCUAAAGAAAAGAAAUGUGAAGCUAUAUCUGUAAUAGAAAUAUGUAAAAAAAAUUGACAUUCAUGUUUUCACUAUUUACAAAGCUUAGCCACAUGCCCAUUUUAUUUGAUUACUUGUGAGGUGACACAUAUGAGGCAGCUGAGAGUAAGUGAGGACCAUGUGGUAAAAUGAUUGUUGAAGGCAUUCAGCCUGCUGGACUCCUUUACCCACUCCCCACCUGUGCCAGUUCCCAUGUGGAAAUGUGAGUAAGUCUGAGAGAAAGAAACGGGCAACAUUUUAAAUAUCUAUAGAGUACAUAAUUGAUGGAAUGACCCCAAGAUCUACCACCGGAGACAUCCGAAAAGCUUCAAAAGUUGUUCAGGGAAAUUUGAGAAUGACACUUCAUAAAUUUUUAAUAAUAAAAAAUUAUCCACUGAUGGAAACCUCACUAAUUUUUGAGGCAAUCAUGAUGGAACGACAUAGAGACCUCCAGGCCGUAGUCACUGAAUAUAAUAUAAACAGAAUAGCGUCCUUAGUGAACACAACAGCAUAGAUAACAAAAAGAGUAGGUUGGGGCUCUGGUUUCCUGAAGGAGGAACAGCUAUAAUUUUUAAUUGUCUUAAUACUGAAAGGGCCCUUAGGAAAUCUCUACAGUUUCUCUGCAAAUCGCUUUAUCUCUUUUCCUUCAAUUUACUGUUUUUCAGCUCCAGAGAACAUCCCUCACUCAUGCACUCACCCACAAUGUCUUCACCUCCACAGGGGCUCAUCACGGUGGUCAGAGCGAGGGCCCCCAGCAGCAGAGCUUUGUUUAGGAUCAUCCUCUUCCCAAGGCAGCCUCAGCAGUUGGUGUUCUGAGCUGUAGAGUAAUUGUGAGGACCUCAAGACAAGGAAAUCUGAAGACACCCAAACCAAACCCUGCCAAGUCAGGUUUUGGCCAAUUAGAAAAAUCCCCUAUGGUGACAUCUCAGUUACUAGUUGAAGAGUUUGUAUUAAGAGCCCUGGAAGGAGACGGGGCAAUCCCCUUGUGAUGCAGCCUCUACUCAGAGUGGACUUGAGGAAUUGUUCUAUGAAUAAAGGGAGGACAUUAAAUUGGAAUCUUCUCUGGUGUGUGCAUGUCUGCCAGUCGCAAGAGGGAUGGGUGUUUUUCUUUUUUUUCCUUUUUCUUUUCUUUUUCUUUUUUUUUGAGACGUAGUCUCACUCUGUCACCCAGGCUGAGGUACAAUGGCAAGGUCUCGGCUCACUGCAACCUUUGCCUCCCGGAUUCAAGCGAUUCUCCUCCCUCACCCUCCCAAGUAGCUGGGACUGCAGGCACCUGCCACCACGCCCAGCUAAUUUUUGUAUUUUUAGUAGAGACGGGGUUUCACUAUGUUGGCCACGCUGGUCUUGAACUCCUGACCUCAUGAUCUGCCCGUCUCAGCCUCCCAAAGUACUCAGAUUACAGGCAUGAGCCACCGCGCCUGGCCAGGGGUGGGCAUUUCUGAGCAGCCUCGUGGAUAGAUGAGGUCAUCAGUUAUACGGCAUCCUUCAGGAUGUUCUGGCUUACAACCUCCAGGAAUUUUUCCCUGAGUUGAUUUCCCUCCCUGGCAGUCCCCAUCCCCUGCCCUUUCUCUGGCUUCUGUAUGUGGGUUAGCUGUUUUUCUUUUAGCUUCCACAGUGCGUAUGGAAUUCUCCAAAUGUUAAGCUGACCCCACCUACCUAGGGAUCUCUGCUGGUGGUAGCCCAAGCAAUACCUUUGCCUUUUCUACUUGUAUAAAUCCAGCUGGGUAAGUUCUUCUCAAGUGCUCAAAAGCUCCAGGUGGUUUUGGCCAGGGCAAUAAAAAGGGGUUAUAAUGUCAGAUGGGGCUGUCUAUAGUAACUAUAUGAGACUUUAUACAGUUUUUCUUUGCAUUGAGUAAUCCUUAUGUUCUGUGUUUUGGUGCUUCUUGAGUACGUUUAAAGGAAAUUUAGGGACAUUGAUUACAUUUAAAAUUUGGCUGGCUCAAUUACUCUAAGAAUUUUUUUUUUAAUUAAGAAUAUGAAGUCAAAAGUUGAGGGUAGAAUAAGAAUUGCACUGCCUUAGAAAAAUGGUUUUCUUUUCUUAAACUAUCAGAUCUUUUAAAACUUGUUAUCCUACCCCAUUAAAAUUCCAAAUAUUUGCAAGGGACUAGAGAUUGAGCUAAAGUUAGUCCUUAGAGGGAAACUUAUUAUGUUUUUUCAGAUGCAUCUAUUUUCUGUAUGUGAUAGAAACCGUAAGUUAAUGGAGCUUCUAUUUAGAAUCACUCUGUCCUUGAUAAAUGGCCUUCUGAGAUUCUCAGCACUAUGUUUUACCUCCUACUGGCAGAGACUGUAAAAAAAAAAAGUAAAACAAAAAAAAAAAUGUCCUGACACCUGAGAGCUGUCUGGAUGUAAUUAACAAAGGCUUGGGGUUGCUAGCAGCUAGCCUGGCACUCCCAGGUGGUUUUGGUUCUCCUGUUGGAGAUAAAGGAUUUCAUAGAACAUCAGAAUCAGACAGGUACUCUGUGAGCACAGUGGAUUGAGACAGAACACCUGAAUGCUCAGUCAUCAUGUCUGAACCCAGACAAAACAUAAAUAUUGUCCAAACCACAAAAAUGACCAGGCACAUCUCUCUCUUGGGAGUGAUUACUGCUUCUUUACCAACCACGUCUGUAGCCUCAGGAUAGUCUUCUGUCCCUCUAGGUAGGAUUUAUGAAGCUACCCAAUCAUAACAUUGCCACCCCAACCCUCCACUUUCUGUCAGAAUCCAAUUAAAAGCAAAAUCCCUCUUUCUUAAAUCCUCCCCAAAAUCACCUAAAACAAGCACAAACCUUACAACUGAUUAAUGGUCAAUUUUAUGUGUCAGCUAGACUGUGAUCCCCAGUUAUUCAGUCAAACACUAAUAAUCUAGAUGUUGCUGUGAAGAUAUUUUGUAGAUGUCAUUGAAGUUCAUAAUCAGUUGACUUUAAGAAUUUAUCCUAGGAAAACUGGGUGAGCUUAAUCUAAGCUGUUGAAAAGCCUUAAGAGCAGAGCUGAGGUUUCUCUGAGGAAACAGAAAUUCCACUCUGGACAGUGUGUCAGCCUGUGCUGAGAGUUCCAGCCUGCCCUUCCUGAUAACUACCUCCCAGAGGAUCUCUGACUUGCCUAGCCCACCCCCACAGAUGCAAAAAUUAAUUCCUUGCAUCAUUCUCUUAAUAUAUGUAUUCUCGUGGUUCUACUUCUUUGGUUCCAACAAUCUCUUACUGAGGGGCUGCAUGAUUCUCAUGGUGAGUUUUAUCCAUCAUUGCAAUAAACAAUAAAGCUGACUUGUUCA